ensembl:lncRNA novel transcript
AGGUCUCUGCUGCUGGAAGCCAAAAUAAUCAAGCAGCAGGCCAACUGUGCGUGAGGGACCCUGCUAGAUGCUGGCACGCCCUGCAGUUAGCUUGAAGAGGAAGCCACUUUUAAACAGCCUGCCCAGUGAGCACUGCUGGCUGCCUGAAGAUGAUUCCACUCACCUUGGUUUUUCCUGCAAGUGAACCUUCCUCCCAGAACUAAGGUUUGGAAGAUCCCAGUCUGCUGCCUGACAUGGCCAUUCUCCCACAAAAACAGAUCCUGACUCGGAGGGCAGUUGGUUGCUAGAUCACGUCUAUCAGUGCCCGACAUAAGGGAUGGCACACAGAAAAUAUUCAGUGACCGAAGUUCCUCCUCCCUUUAUCCCAGCCGCUGUGGCAGCCCCACCACCAGGCUUUGUACACACCCCACAGGGAGCCAGGGGCCUCUAGAAUGGCCUCUCCUCCACCCACGUGCAUGGGCCCUGGCACAGGAGAGGCGCUGAGGAGGAAGCUGGAAGGCACCCAGCCACCCACUCCAGGGUGAACGCCUCAUCAUCCUGUGUUGGUGGCACUCAACCAUCUUUCUCUACCAGACUAGCAGCUCGGUGGAGGCAGGCACUGAGGAAGCGUGUGCUGAAGGCAUCGCAUGCAGCUGUCUGUGCCCACCACCUCAGCCAGGAGGAGUCACGAGCCCCUUCCCUAUCUGCACACAGCUCAGCCUGGCUCACUGCACCAAAAAGGCAGGCCUGAGCAUGGACCACACACAGAGGUA